CAGCCGCCGCGGUAAUACGUAGGGGGCGAGCGUUGUCCGGAAUUAUUGGGCGUAAAGCGCGCGCAGGCGGUCCUUUAAGUCUGAUGUGAAAGCCCACGGCUCAACCGUGGAGGGUCAUUGGAAACUGGGGGACUUGAGUGCAGGAGAGGAGAGCGGAAUUCCACGUGUAGCGGUGAAAUGCGUAGAGAUGUGGAGGAACACCAGUGGCGAAGGCGGCUCUCUGGCCUGCAACUGACGCUGAGGCGCGAAAGCGUGGGGAGCAAACAGGAUUAGAUACCCUGGUAGUCCACGCCGUAAACGAUGAGUGCUAAGUGUUAGAGGGGUCACACCCUUUAGUGCUGCAGCUAACGCGAUAAGCACUCCGCCUGGGGAGUACGGCCGCAAGGCUGAAACUUAAAGGAAUUGGCGGG
rnacentral:rRNA from 1 species